rnacentral:rRNA from 1 species
GAUUUCUGACUUGGCGCACCUGGCCCGCCACGGUUACGUGUGUGAGUGCCGGGAUGCGCCUGUCACUUUUCUGGUAAACUAUUGUGCUCUUCACUGAGCAUGAUAGGUAGCCAGAUCUUUUACUUUGAAAAAAUUAGAGUGUUUCAAGCAGGCAUGUUUUGCUAUGAAUACAUUAGCAUGGAAUAAUAAUCUAGGACUUUCGGUUCUAUUUUGUUGGUGUUCUGGAGCUGAAGUAAUGAUUGAUAGGGAUAGUUGGGGGUGCUAGUAUUCAAUGGCCAGAGGUGAAAUUCUCGGAUUCCUUGAAGACUAACUUAUGCGAAAGCAUU